CUUCAAUUUCAGGCCUGAAAUGUUUGAAUCCGUGCAUAAUUUCAAGUGGGUCUGUUCAAAUGCACCUAAUUUCCCUUUAGAACCAAAGAACGUCUGUUCCCUUAAUGAUAAAGAUUUAGAAUUGUUGGCUUGAAUCAAUGGUAGGGAGGACAAGGGUUUAUUUGAAACGGAAGAAGAUGGAGAAACAAUAGCCAUUGGAGGGCUCUAGAAAGGUAGAGAGCUGCUUUCGAGGCGUGAAAUGCUGAAAGAAAUGUGGAUUUGAGGGUGGCAUUUAUGAGUAUAGUUUUGAAAAAGAAGGCGGGUAUGUGUGGGUUGGGAACUUUCAACGUCUGGAGCACGGCGGCUUAGUUGGCAUCGCCAUUAAACCAAAAACUUUGAAUUCUCCGUCGUUCUUGGA
rnacentral:misc_RNA from 1 species